AAGACUAUAGACCUGCGGAGUACCUGCGGAGGGAUCAUUACCGAGUUCUCGCCCCUCGCGGGGUAGACCUCCCACCCACUGUGAUCACUACCGUCGUUGCUUUGGCGGGCCGCUGGGCCCAGCCCACCGCCGGCUCCGGCUGGCGCGUGCCCGCCAGAGGCCCUACAAACGCUGGAUAUCAGUGCCGUCUGAGUACACAUGUUAAUCGUUAAAACUUUCAACAACGGAUCUCUAGAUCGG
rnacentral:misc_RNA from 1 species